rfam:Candidatus Puniceispirillum marinum IMCC1322, complete genome.
GCAACGGAAAGUAAAAUUCCUGAUGCACAAAGUGGCUAUGAAAAAUGUUUGACCGUAAGUCAAACUGUGCAAGCUGGCGCAAAUAUUGUGACGCAAGCUUGUGGCGCACAG